ensembl:lncRNA
GCCCCCUCAGCCUUCUCCUGUUAUCUGCUUUAUGCUCCUUUGGAUCUCUCCGCCAGGAGUCUGGGGCGGAUUAACACAAGAUAGGAACUAGAUCCAAUCUAAUCAAGGGGACCUAAUCAACCCAUCCUUCCUCCCCCACUCCUCCUUCUCAGAACAAACCCACGUCCUGCCUCUACACAACUUUUCAUGGGAAUUGGCAUCUGAUAAUUAAUAAUUCUUUCUGACUUUGCAGGAGCAGUGUCAACCUCUGACCUACUUCACAGAAAGAGGUAAAGCUCUGCACUAAGCAACUCAGGAGACCUAAAAGAAGAGGACACCUGAUCAGGGACCAUCAUCUCCACCAGAUGGGCCAUUAAGAUUAGUGAGACAAGUUGUAGAUACUAUCCCCAUUCAGGGUGAGUAUGUGUGGGUGAAGGACCAUCUUGUGUAGACCGAGUUAAAAUUUUACCUGCUGGUAAGGCUUCAAACCUGAUUAUGAGGCAGAACGUUUGAAAAACCUUUAUCCUGCCUUUUACAGAAGUAAAACCAUGAGAAUUCGGAUUCCUCUGAUUAGCAAACAGCUGAUUCACAAAUAAGUGCUGGAGCGACUCAGUCUUCCCAUACAGGUGCAGCAGACAGAAAAACUGAAGCUUCAGGUUGACAGAGAUUUUGUUGCUGCUUUUUCACCCUUACAUUUUGACUCUGCCUCUUAAGAAGAGACUGUUUCUGUAGAUUACAAAUUAACUUUGAUUGAGAACAGCAAGGAAAUCCAUCCAGCCUGAAGCAAGAAGAGCCUUCAGGCAGGUGUUGGUAGGCUUUCUUUAGAAGGCCUCCCUGGAUAUGUAAAGACAGUUCAUUAGUGCUGGUUUGUAUAUCAUUGCUGCUAUCUCGUUGAUAACAUGUUUGUGUCCAAUCUGUUUUUGUCUGACUCCAAUUCUAACCCAAAUUCAGACAGAAAUAUUAAACAGAGAGGGAUUCUCAUUCAUUUUAUUAUCUCCUUCCAAUUCCUUGCUUGCAAAGGUAGUUCUUAGAUUGCACCUUUGAUAAAAAAAUCUUCCACUAUUGCUUUUGUUGGACUGAGUUCCAUCUUCCUGAGAUUAAUUAUUCUUUUUUUUUUGGUGUGUGUGUGUGCGUGUGUGUACAGAAAUUGAAUAUUAAGAUUAAAAGGAGCUCUUGCCUCUUUCUGAUGGAAGAACUGAACACUCCCAGACCUCUCAGUGACCUUUUAGGGGAUGCUUUGGGGACUCUAAAAUCUUAGAAGAAGCAAAGGCUCAAGACCAUGAACAUUAUUAACAUGAGAUGCUGAGAAGGUCUUUGAUCGAGUGGAGUGGAAUUAUUUGAUAACAGCCUUCAUACAAUACUGAAAUGGAAUAACUUUUCAAGAGAGAGACACAUGCACGUCCUUGCACAAGAAAAGAGAUUCUUCACCUUCUGCCAUCGUAUUGUCACAGCAGCUCAUGUUUAUUGUGAAUGACAUCUUCAGCUACAACUCAGCAUGAGCUCCAGCAUGCUGGAGCUGAACAUCCUACCAGGAAAAUCAGCGGCGACAUUAAAAUUGUUUCAUGAAUAAUGAAAAAAUAAAUAUCACAUUAACUGCA